GACAUGCCCAAUGAGAAUGAGAAUGGAAUGAUAUCAAGUAAUCAAACAAUUCUAAGAUAUGAAGUUGCUUUUGGUUGAGCUAGGGUUUGGUUUUUCUCUUACGGGUCAGACUCUAAGGUUUUAGAUCAUGAGCUUCGGCUUUCUAACUAGGGUUAGGUCUAGGACUCAAGGCUCAGUUAUGGCGCUUGAGCUCUAAGAGCAUUUUCUCAUAAAAAUGCAAUUCUUACGUGGGUUUGAAGGCAUUAUUAAGGAUAAUGUUAAAGUUAACAUCCUAUUUAUAAGCUUGAUAUCAAAUAUUACCUAACAUUUGUUGUUCCUGAUCCCGCAAAUCAUCAUAUAUAUGUCCAUGAGCGCAUAUGUGAUUAAACUUUUUUCGUAUGUCCCGCAUUUAAUAAUAGAAGCUAAAAUAAUAAUGUUUAGAGAGACCUCAUUUUCACAUCACAUAUAUCAUAAUUAAUAUGAACAAGUCAUAUCAAAUAAUGACUUGUCACAUUAUAAAUAUUGAAUAUGGUACAAAAACGUUUUCCCAAGUAAUAAAAUGAGCUGUUGGAAAAAGAAAAAAAAUGAAAGAGUUGUCAAUAUUCUUUCAUUCAAACAACUCUUCUUAAUUAUAUAUAAAACCAGCUAGCAUCGCUUGUUAAAAUAGUAAAUUGUACACGGAUGUCAGUAAGAUUUUAAAGAUACUAGGCUAGUUGGGUUGCAGAUGUAUAAAUAUUGUAUAAUAAUGCCUAUUUAUACUUUGGAAAACACAUAGUUGUAUAGAAAUACAUAAAAUGCAAAACAAAAAUGACAUGUAGAUUAUAAAGUAUUAGGACAUAUAUAUUUAAAACAUGGGAAAUAAGCAUAUAAUGAGUGUUCAUCCAAGUAUUCAACAAGUCUCAUACAUUUUAUUGACAAAUAAAAUGCAAAAUGCAAGUUAUUAAUUUUAUGUCUAAGUGAGAGUCACGAUCUAAGUGGGUACUUUUACGGGUUUAGGUGAGUUAGGCGGACGCCUAAGCGGGUCUAGGCACACUUUCUUAAUUUUCAAAUGCCUAGGAACUAAUCGGGGCGGAGACCAACCACCUAGAAUUUUAGAACAGUGAAUAUCAGUAUACUAAUAAAGAAUUGGUUUUAUUUUCCUUUAUUUUCAAAGAAAAUCGGAUAAUUUACCUCAUUUUUUACGAAUUAAGUUGUACUUUUUACUUGUUCUAUUGUUUAUUAUGUAUCCUGUUUAUAUACAGUUUUCCUUUUCUUUCUUUUAUAAAUUUCACUCUAAUUCUCUAUAUAAUUAUUAUACAGCAUGUGCAUGCCUUGAAAUGUCAUUUUGCUCGUUAAUUAGGUAGGUUUUCUUUGGUUUCCCAUAAAAAAAAAAAGGUAGGUUUUCUUUGAGUUGUGAUCAUGUAUGAAUGGAGCUUCCUCCCUGGUAUGAGCUUGCUAAUUAUUGCUAAUUUAUUAAUCACUACAUUAUUUUUUCUCUGAAAUCUGAAUAUAAGUUAUUUUCUUCCAAGAAAAACUAAUG
rnacentral:lncRNA from 1 species